UCCGAGUUGACCCCGGCAGUCUCCCAUGAGUCCCCAACCAAAUGCUGGCAACAUGGAACGAGGGUUGCGCUCGUUGCGGGACUUAACCCAACAUCUCACGACACGAGCUGACGACAGCCAUGCACCACCUGUACACCACCAAAAGAAACCGCAUCUCUGCGGCGACAUGGCGUAUGUCAAACCCAGGUAAGGUGGGGAUGACGUGUAGGAGCUCGAC
rnacentral:misc_RNA from 1 species